GGACCCGCACAAGCGGUGGAGCAUGUGGUUUAAUUCGAUGCAACGCGAAAAACCUUACCUACUCUUGACAUACUUGGAAGCUCUUGUAAUGAGAGUGUGCCUUUUGGAGCCAAGAUACAGGUGCUGCAUGGCUGUCGUCAGCUCGUGUCGUGAGAUGUUCCGUUAAGUCGGAUAACGAGCGCAACCCUUACCCUUAUUUGCCAGCGAUUCGGUCGGGAACUAUAAGGGGACUGCCGGUGAUAAACCGGAGGAAGGUGAGGACGACGUCAAGUCAUCAUGGCCCUUACGAGUAGGGCUACACACGUGCUACAAUGGGGAAUACAGACGGACGCUAAGCCGCGAGGUGGUGCUAAUCCUAUAAAGUUCUUCGUAGUCCGGAUUGGAGUCUGCAACUCGACUCCAUGAAGUCGGAAUCGCUAGUAAUCG
rnacentral:rRNA from 1 species